GACGAACGCUGGCGGCGCGCUUAACACAUGCAAGUCGAGCGAUCGGCUGAGAGGGGGUAACCCCUCUCGGUACGGAGCGGCGAACGGGUGAGUAACACGUGAGGAACCUGCCCCGGGCACCGGGAUAACGGCGGGAAACCGCCGCUAACACCGGAUAAUCUCCUCCAACCGCAUGGCGGGAGGAGAAAAAGCCUGCUGGCCCGGGAUGGUCUCGCGGCCCAUCAGCUUGUUGGCGGGGUAACGGCCCACCAAGGCAGCGACGGGUAGCUGGUGUGAG
rnacentral:rRNA from 1 species